GGUGAACGCUGGCGGUAGGCCUAACACAUGCAAGUCGAACGGCAGCACAGUAAGAGCUUGCUCUUACGGGUGGCGAGUGGCGAACGGGUGAGGAAUACAUCGGAAUCUACUUUUUCGUGGGGGAUAACGUAGGGAAACUUACGCUAAUACCGCAUACGACCUACGGGUGAAAGCAGGGGAUCUUCGGACCUUGCGCGAUUGAAUGAGCCGAUGUCGGAUUAGCUAGUUGGCGGGGUAAAGGCCCACCAAGGCGACGAUCCGUAGCUGGUCUGGGAGGAUGAUCAGCCACACUGGAACUGAGACACGGUCCAGACUCCUACGGGAGGCAGCAGUGGGGAAUAUUGGACAAUGGGCGCAAGCCUGAUCCAGCCAUACCGCGUGGGUGAAGAAGGCCUUCGGGUUGUAAAGCCCUUUUGUUGGGAAAGAAAAGCAGCAGGUUAAUACCCCGCUGUUCUGACGGUACCCAAAGAAUAAGCACCGGCUAACUUCGUG
rnacentral:rRNA from 1 species